rnacentral:rRNA from 1 species
CAGUCGCCACGGUAAUACGGAGGGUGCAAGCGUUAAUCGGAAUUACUGGGCGUAAAGCGCACGCAGGCGGUCUGACAAGUCAGAUGUAAAAUCCCCGGGCUUAACCUGGGAACUGCAUUUGAAACUGUCAGGCUGGAGUCUUGUAGAGGGGGGUGGAAUUCCAGGUGUAGCGGUGAAAUGCGUAGAGAUCUGGAGGAAUACCGGUGGCGAAGGCGGCCCCCUGGACAAAGACUGACGCUCAGGUGCGAAAGCGUGGGGAGCAAACAGGAUUAGAUACCCCUGUAGUCCCUGUCUCUUAUAC